rnacentral:rRNA from 1 species
GAUGAACGCUGGCGGCGUGCCUAAUACAUGCAAGUCGAGCGAAUGGAUUAAGAGCUUGCUCUUAUGAAGUUAGCGGCGGACGGGUGAGUAACACGUGGGUAACCUGCCCAUAAGACUGGGAUAACUCCGGGAAACCGGGGCUAAUACCGGAUAACAUUUUGAACCGCAUGGUUCGAAAUUGAAAGGCGGCUGCGGCUGUCACUUAUGGAUGGACCCGCGUCGCAUUAGCUAGUUGGUGAGGUAACGGCUCACCAAGGCAAAGAUGCGUAGCCGACCUGAGAGGGUGAUCGGCCACACUGGGACUGAGACACGGCCCAGACUCCUACGGGAGGCAGCAGUAGGGAAUCUUCCGCAAUGGACGAAAGUCUGACGGAGCAACGCCGCGUGAGUGAUGAAGGCUUUCGGGUCGUAAAACUCUGUUGUUAGGGAAGAACAAGAGCUAGUUGAAUAAGCUGGCACCUUGACGGUACCUAACCAGAAAGCCACGGCUAACUACGUGCCAGCCGCCGCCGUAA